AUCCUUGUCGCGUGCAGGAAGACUGCCCUAUGGGUUGUAAACUGCUUUUAUACAGGAAGAAACCGCUCUACGUGUAGAGCUCUGACGGUACUGUAAGAAUAAGGAUCGGCUAACUCCGUGCCAGCAGCCGCGGUAAUACGGAGGAUCCAAGCGUUAUCCGGAAUCAUUGGGUUUAAAGGGUCCGUAGGUUGAUAAUUAAGUCAGAGGUGAAAUCUUGCAGCUCAACUGUAAAAUUGCCUUUGAUACUGGUUGUCUUGAGUUAUUAUGAAGUGGUUAGAAUAUGUAGUGUAGCGGUGAAAUGCAUAGAUAUUACAUAGAAUACCAAUUGCGAAGGCAGAUCACUAAUAAUAUACUGACACUGAUGGACGAAAGCGUGGGGAGCGAACAGGAUUAGAACCCCUGGUAGA
rnacentral:rRNA from 1 species